rnacentral:rRNA from 1 species
GACGAACGCUGGCGGCGUGCUUAACACAUGCAAGUCGAACGGACAUUCCCUGCUUUUGUGGGGUGCUCGAGUGGCGAACUGGUGAGUAACACUUGAGUAACCUGUCCCUCACUUUGGGAUAACUUCAGGAAACUGGUGCUAAUACCGGAUAGGAGCUCCUGCUUCAUGGUGGGGGUUGGAAUGUUUCGGCGGUUGGGGAUGGACUCGCGGCUUCUCAGCUAGUUGGUGGGGUAGUGGCUUACCAAGGCUAUGACGGGUAGACGGCCUGAGAGGGGGGCCGGACAAAUUGGAACUGGGAUGAGGCACAGACCACAACGGGAGGCAGGAGUGGGGAGGGGUGCACAAUGGAAGGGGGCAAGGUGCAGCAAAGCCACGUGGGGGAAAAGGGCCUUCGGGUUGUAAACCGAUAUCGCCUGUGACGAAGCGUGAGUGACGGUAAUGGGUAAAGAAGCACCGGCUAACUACGUG